CGGCGGCCGGCUGCCACCUGGUGGUUGGCGGCGCGAAGGUCGUCUGGUAUGUCAUGUCAUUGGGGCCUUCAGGACGCACUCAGCUGAAUUUCUGAACUGAUUUGGCUGCAGUUCUAUAAAAAGCAAGGAAUAUGACUCCAACAUUAACCACUAAUGUGACUGAUGGAAGGUGGUAAUCAUGCAUCCUGCCUUCUGUGGCUGUGGUGCCAGGACACUGCGCUGGGCACAUGCAGUGAACUCAAGACAUCAGCUUGUGGCAGCACUGGGUAAUGCUUCUGUAGAUGCCCUGGAGGCAGAUGUCAGCUCACUGCCUGCUGAUGAGCAAGUGCCUGUUAUGCUUCACCCACCAGCAACUGAGGUGGACCUUACGGCAGCCCAGUUCCUGGCCAUUGUGCAGCGGUUUGGCACACAGAAAAUCCUCAAGCUGGACCUGAAGACUGACCAGAUCAUUAAGCAAGUGGUGGACAUCAUCCUGCAUCACCACCUGACAGUACAUGAGUAGGAAUACUGCUGCUAGUGGUGCAGAAUGUGGUGUAGGUGCACCAUUGGCUGCACCAACAGUUGACUUGUACAUUUUGAUAAAACAACUUGGCCUGAUUUAACAUUGUACUACUGAAAGGUGUUUACUCCAGUGCACUUGUGACACCAUCUGUUCUCAUUAGUAUCCAACCACAGUCACUGCAUAGUGGUCACGCUACAAAACAAAAGCCUACUGUAGUGGAAGUAGCAUAAACUGGCAGCUUGGGGUUUAUUGUUGAUUUGUCAUGUUUGGGUUAACAUAUUGAUGGAUUGAGGCACUGGGUUAUGUUGUGUUGCAUGGAAAAAUAUGUGCGACUUAGCUUCCCCAGAUUUUUUAACAUCUAUGACAUAAAAUCUGACUGAGCUUCAAGCACUUGACUGCACCACAGAAAACUUGUCAUGCCUCAUGACAAUUCUGCUUAGUCUCUCAUUGCAUAUUCUGAGGACUAGGAGAUAGCCAUGGUGGUCAUCUGGUGCAUCUGAAGAUAUGAGGUGCCUUUGUCUCAUACUCUGUGAAGUUAUUCAAGCAUUGCCUAUUUGGUGUCUUCACAGGAAUGAUCAGUUUACAUUUCCCCAGAACAUGACUCCACUGGUUCUGAACGCCGACGUGGUGGGCAGCGCAACCGAGGUGCCCGCUGUGGACGCCCACACGCUGCUUACCCAGCUGGAGCGCCUCCAAGCUACUCGGCUGCCACCUCUCGUCUCGCUCGGCUGGUGCCCACCUAGCGAAGGCACGCGAAGCCUGACUUUAAGUCAGAUCUCAGAGAUGGCGACACUGGCGCGUGGCCGCCCUGCCACACUGGCAGUUCGCGCGGACGUGGCGUUAGCUUCGGAGGAGGCGUUGGCGGCACUGAUGGGUGACCUGCCCGGCUGCGGGGUCACGCUAUGGGCGCACGAUGGGGACUCGGUGUGCCCUGAAGGUGCACGGCGACUGUUGGAGCGUUUGAGGCCAGCGCCCGUUUGGCUGGAUAUGCCCCCCAAACUCCUGUCACAUUUUACUGCUUCGUGAGCAGGGGAUAGCAUGUGCAAUCAUGGCAUAUGGUUGUUGAUUGUUAUAAUUUUUGCUGCAAAGGACACGGGGAUAUUCGCGGUGAUAUUAUUAUUAUUAUCCAUGGCACCAAGUACCUGAAAGGGCGACCGCCGGCAAAGUUCCUUCAUUUGCUUUCAGCGUUGAAUCUAUGGUGGGGCGACGUUUCGUCGUGUCAGACAAAGUUUUGUGGGUUUGGGUUGCUACGACCGUGGUUUUGGAAGUCCUUCUUCCCGUUUCCCUCUGGGAGGUGCUCAUCACAAAGUGCGCUAUAACGGCAUGGCAGGUGUGUGCGUCGGUUCGGUCCCGCGAGCGCGGUUCGGGUGGCCUCCCCCAGCGAUAGCGCCUCGCAGCUCUGUAUCUGUUUCCGUCUCCGUCUACAUCUCAAUCUCCGGCCUCCGCCUCCGCCACCUCCUCCGCCCCAGCCUCUGCCUCUGUAUCUACAUGUGCCUCCGUCCCGUCCCGUCCCGUCCCGUUCCAACCCGGAAGACAGGGUGGGGUGGCGUGUGCUAAGGCGCCAUGGCGUAAAUCCUGGCGCGCGAGGG
rnacentral:lncRNA from 1 species